rfam:Vigna angularis cultivar Jingnong 6 chromosome 7, whole genome shotgun sequence.
GGCCUAUUAGCUUAGUUUGUUAGAGCGUCUUUCUAAUAAUGCGAAGGUCGCAGGUUCAACACCUGCAUGGGCCA